ensembl:lncRNA
GGAUUUACGAGAAGAUUAGGAAGCAAGUAGGCAUAGAGGGAAAAUGGAGACUGAGGGAGAAGAGUACCAUCUACAGUCAAGGAGAGAGGUUCCUCAGAAGAUAUCAAGCCUGCGGAUACCUUGAUCUCAGACUUUUCACCUCCAGAAUUGUGAGAAAGCAAAUUUCUGUUGUUUAACCCCCCUAGACUGUAGUUCUUGUUAUGGCCGCCAGAGAAGAUGAAGACAGAAAUCUUCCAGUGUGCCCAGUACCUUGGGUCAGGAAGAUCCCCUGGAGGAGGAAUUCUGUGUGCAAUACUGGGAUAGAAAUGACACCGUUUGAAAAAUAAAAUAGUAAUUUUAGAUUUGUAUUUUGAAAAAUAUUAAAAAAUAAGAAUUUUAAAUUCUUUUGUUUUACCCCAUGUGUUUUAGAAUCUUUUGAGAAUUGAAUAUGCAGAAUAU